UACAGAGGGUGCGAGCGUUAAUCGGAAUUACCGGGCGUAAAGCGUGCGUAGACGGUUGCAUAAGUCGGAUGUGAAAUCCCCGGGCUCAACCUGGGAAUUGCAUUCGAGACUGUGUAGCUGGGGUGCGGAAGAGGGAAGCGGAAUUUCCGGUGUAGCGGUGAAAUGCGUAGAUAUCGGAAGGAACAUCAGUGGCGAAAGCGGCUUCCUGGUCCAGCACCGACGUUCAGGCACGAAAGCGUGGGGAGCAAACAGG
rnacentral:rRNA from 1 species